rnacentral:rRNA from 1 species
AAACUGGAGAUGGCGACCGGCGCACGGGUGAGUAACACGUAUCCAACCUGCCGAUAACUCGGGGAUAGCCUUUCGAAAGAAAGAUUAAUACCCGAUGGCAUAAUAGAACCGCAUGGUUUGAUUAUUAAAGAAUUUCGGUUAUCGAUGGGGAUGCGUUCCAUUAGGCAGUUGGUGGGGUAACGGCCCACCAAGCCUUCGAUGGAUAGGGGUUCUGAGAGGAAGGUCCCCCACAUUGGAACUGAGACACGGUCCGAACUCCUACGGGAGGCAGCAUG